rnacentral:rRNA from 1 species
CAGUAGCCGCGGGAAUACGAAGGGGGCUAGCGUUGUUCGGAAUUACUGGGCGUAAAGCGCACGUAGGCGGACAUUUAAGUCAGGGGUGAAAUCCCGGGGCUCAACCCCGGAACUGCCUUUGAUACUGGGUGUCUAGAGUAUGGAAGAGGUGAGUGGAAUUCCGAGUGUAGAGGUGAAAUUCGUAGAUAUUCGGAGGAACACCAGUGGCGAAGGCGGCUCACUGGUCCAUUACUGACGCUGAGGUGCGAAAGCGUGGGGAGCAAACAGGAUUAGAUACCCCUGUAGUCCCUGUCUCUUAUAA